rnacentral:rRNA from 1 species
UACGGAGGGUGCAAGCGUUAUCCGGAUUCACUGGGCUUAAAGGGUGCGUAGGAGGGCAGGUAAGUCAGUGGUGAAAUCUUCGAGCUUAACUCGGAAACUGCCGUUGAUACUAUCUGUCUUGAAUACCGUGGAGGUGAGCGGAAUAUGUCAUGUAGCGGUGAAAUGCUUAGAUAUGACAUAGAACACCAAUUGCGAAGGCAGCUCGCUACACGAAUAUUGACUCUGAGGCACGAAAGCGUGGGGAUCAAACAGG